rnacentral:rRNA from 1 species
GACGUAGGGUGCGAGCGUUGUCCGGAAUUACUGGGCGUAAAGAGCUCGUAGGUGGUUUGUCGCGUUGUUCGUGAAAACUCACAACUCAAUUGUGGGCGUGCGGGCGAUACGGGCAGACUGGAGUACUGCAGGGGAGACUGGAAUUCCUGGUGUAGCGGUGGAAUGCGCAGAUAUCAGGAGGAACACCGGUGGCGAGGGCGGGUCUCUGGGCAGUAACUGACGCUGAGGAGCGAAAGCGUGGGGAGCGAACAGG